rnacentral:lncRNA from 1 species
CUGCAUUUUACAUGACUGCGGGGCCUGUUCCUUGCGCCUGUCUGGUCGCGUCACAUCAUGGAGGGUUUCUCGGGGCGGCCGGCCGCCUCUGAGCACAGCCAGGGUGGUGUUUGCAGCACAGCUGCUGCCUAGGCCUCGCUGCGGAGGUGCUGGGCCACGGCCCCGUGGAGGCAGAGCCGCAGGGCCAUCGACAUGUCCUUUGAAAACGGGCAUUUCCCCAACUCAUGCAGGUGGAGGGGAGAGCGAAGCCAAAUGGGACACCGGCCCCCACACACUGCCCCGGCUCCUGCAUUUCCGGAGAUGGAAACCUGGAGAGCAGCUGGGAUCUUGAAAACGUGGGUUGGACUGCGUCACCCCGACCCCUGCCUCAAAGCCCCUCCGUGGUUGCCUACAGCACAGCUUGAAGCCCCUUGGUUCUGCUUCCCGGGCCUGCAGCGCUGGCCCCAGCCUGGCCGAGCGAGCAUUUGUUCACCCAAGACCUUUCCCCUCCUGCCCUCGUGGAGCCUCCACAAGGAGGUCCCUCAAAGCAUCAACUCUGUGCCUUGCAGACAGCGGACACGUAACACAGCCACGCGGCGUGAACAUGAGCAGACUUCUUUUUUCCAGGAUGUGCACGGUUUCCACGACAAUGCCCACUGCACGCCUUAUGGCCUCACCAGAGACGUAAAGCAGAUGCCAAGAAACUUCCCCCCAAAAUGGGCUGGCUUGCCAAGCCCAGGACCGCCUGUCCAGCUGGGGCUGGGGGCAAGGAUCCCAUUUUCUGUGACUCUCUUUGCUCUGAUGGUCAGGUUCACCGGCCGUACGUGUAAUCUGAAGCAUUCGGUAGCGAUCUA